UCUCGGUCUGCCUCUCUCGUCUCUCUCACUCUCACUCGGCUGAGGUCGGCGCCGCCUCCGGCGCGCCGCCUCGCCGUCGCCUCGUCCCCUCUCUUUUCAUUUCCUCGGUCUCCUCUUCCCUCUCUCUCGCUGGUACAGUCGCCUCCGUCUCCUUCGCGUGCCACUGCCGCCUCCGCCGUGGCCAAGCACGGCGCCGCCUGGUCGUCCCCAGCCUUGGAACAGGGUGGCAGAGACCUCUCCGCCGCUGCAUGUGCCUUCUCCGGCCGUUGUGAAAAGCCGAGCGUCGCCGCGCCGCUUCCCCUGUUCUCCGCCGUCUCCGCCAUGGCCGGAAUCGUGGUGGAUGGCCGAGCCUUGCCUCGCCGUGAAGAACCGCCGUUCGUGUCGCUGCGCCGCUGCUUCCGCCGCGUCGCCGGAAAAGAUAAGUCUCUCCCCCUUUUUCCCGUAUCUCUCUCUCUUUUUUUUAUUUUUACAGAAGCCCUAACCAUCUCUCUCUCUACCCUCUUCUCUCUCGUUUUGGCAGGACAAGGGCUAGCGGCUGUGCCGCCGCCGCCGUCGCCGACCGUGAGCAGCCCCCGGCUGCUCUCACCUCUUUCCCCAUUUUCGGACAUACACAGAAGGCAAAGACACAAGAACCCCCAAAUUCCAGUCACACGCACAAAAGCAAAAUUAGGGUUUUAUUAAUCUGUUCUUUCAAUCAUUCAUUUCCUUUUUAUUAAAACUGAUUGUACAUGUAAUAGAUUAGAGAAUAUAGUAAAAUGUGUGCGUGUGUAUUAUUCUGUUGGUGGUUCUCUGAUGGUGAUAAGCUGAUGUAAUUGAAACAAUAAUAGUCUAAAAGAAGUGGUAAUGGAUGCGUGUGUUCGAUCUGUUUUCA